rnacentral:tRNA from 1 species
GAGGGUAUAGCUCAGUGGUACAGUACAUGCCUAGUAUGCACAAGGUCCUGGGUUCAAUCUCCAGUACCUUUA